AAAGUGAAAACAAGAGGAACUGAAGAUAUUAAGGUUAAAAAGGAAAUGAUCUCCACACAGAAGAAACCUGCAGAAACUCCUGCAGAGGAGCAGAACCGAGCAGCGAGACUUGGUCUGAAAAAGGAGAAGAACAACCAUCAG